rnacentral:rRNA from 1 species
UACAGAGGGGGCAAGCGUUAUUCGGAAUUAUUGGGCGUAAAGGGCGCGUAGGCGGCUUUGCAAGUGGCGGGUGAAAUCCCUCGGCUUAACCGAGGAACUGCCUGUCAAACUGCAUGGCUUGAGACCAGGAGAGGUGAGUGGAAUUCCCAGUGUAGCGGUGAAGUGCGUAGAUAUUGGGAGGAACACCAGUGGCGAAGGCGGCUCACUGGACUGGUACUGACGCUGAGACGCGAAAGCGUGGGGAGCGAACAGG